rnacentral:tRNA from 1 species
UGGCUCAGUGGUAGAGUACUUGCCUGGCAAGCAUGAGGCCCUGGGUUCGAUUCCUCAG